CGAGCGGCGGACGGGUGAGUAAUGGCUGGGAACCUGCCUGGUAGAGGGGGAUAACCACUGGAAACGGUGGCUAAUACCGCAUGAUGUCUACGGACCAAAGAGGGGGACCUUCGGGCCUCUCGCUACCGGAUGGGCCCAGUUGGGAUUAGCUAGUUGGUGGGGUAAAGGCUCACCAAGGCGACGAUCCCUAGCUGGUUUGAGAGGAUGAUCAGCCACACUGGAACUGAGACACGGUCCAGACUCCUACGGGAGGCAGCAGUGGGGAAUAUUGCACAAUGGGCGCAAGCCUGAUGCAGCCAUGCCGCGUGUGUGAAGAAGGCCUUCGGGUUGUAAAGCACUUUCAGCCGUGAGGAAGGCAUUGUACUUAAUACGUGCAGUGUUUGACGUUAGCGGCAGAAGAAGCACCGGCUAACUCCGUGCAAGCCG
rnacentral:rRNA from 1 species